rnacentral:rRNA from 1 species
GUUAUAUAGCAAUAUUUGACCAAAGUGUCGUAAGGGUGCGUAACACGUAUGCAAUCUGCCCUCAUCAGGAGGAUAGCUCCCCGAAAGGGGAAUUAACACUCCGUAAUAUGUAGUGGUGGCAUCACUAUUACAUUAAAACUCCGGUGGUUGAGGAUGAGCAUGCGCAUGAUUAGUUAGUUGGCGGGGUAACGGCCCACCAAGACGAUGAUCAUUAGGGGAACUGAGAGGUUGAUCCCCCACACUGGCACUGAGAUACGGGCCAGACUCCUACGGGAGGCAGCAGUAGGGAAUAUUGGACAAUGGGUGCGAGCCUGAUCCAGCCAUGCCGCGUGCAGGAAGACGGCCUUCUGGGUUGUAAACUGCUUUUGCCAGGGGAUAAAAAGUCCCUGCGGGGAAAAUUGAAGGUACCUGGUGAAUAAGCCACGGCUAACUACGUGCCAGCAGCCGCGGUAAUACGUAGGUGGCAAGCGUUGUCCGGAUUUAUUGGGUUUAAAGGGUGCGUAGGUUGUUUUGUAAGUCAGUGGUGAAAUCCGGCAGCUCAACUGUCGAUGUGCCAUUGAUACUGCAGAACUUGAGUACAGACGAGGUAGGCGGAAUUGACGGUGUACCGGUGAAAUGCUUAGAUAUCGCCAAGAACACCGAUAGCGAAGGCAGCUUACUAGACUGUAACUGACACUGAUGCACGAAAGUGUGGGGAUCAAACAGGAUUAGAUACCCUGGUAGUCCACACUGUAAACGAUGAUUACUCGCUGCUAGGAGGUAACUUUUAGUGGCUAAGCGAAAGCGAUAAGUAAUCCACCUGGGGAGUACGCCGGCAACGGUGAAACUCAAAGGAAUUGACGGGGGCCCGCACAAGCGGAGGAGCAUGUGGUUUAAUUCGAUGAUACGCGAGGAACCUUACCAGGGCUUGAAAGUUAGGGAAUGAUUUUGAAAGAAGUCAGUCAGCAAUGACCCGAAACUAGGUGCUGCGUGGCUGUCGUCAGCUCGUGCCGUGAGGUGUUGGGUUAAGUCCCGCAACGAGCGCAACCCCUACCAUUAGUUGCCAGCGGUUCGGCCGGGGACUCUAAUGGAACUGCCCGCGCAAGCGGAGAGGAAGGUGGGGAUGACGUCAAGUCAUCACGGCCCUUACGUCCUGGGCUACACACGUGCUACAAUGGCUAUUACAGAGGGCUGCUACACAGUAAUGUGAUGCUAAUCUUCAAAAAUAGUCUCAGUUCGGAUUGAGGUCUGCAACUCGACCUCAUGAAGCUGGAUUCGCUAGUAAUCGCGCAUCAGCAAUGGCGCGGUGAAUACGUUCCCGGGCCUUGUACACACCGCCCGUCAAGCCAUGAAAGCUGGGGGUAUCUAAAGUCGGUUGCCGCAAGGCGCUGCCUAGGGUAAAACCG